GAGUGAACGCUGGCGGUAGGCCUAACCCAUGCAAGUCGAACGGCAGCACAGUAAGAGCUUGCUCUUACGGGUGGCGAGUGGCGGACGGGUGAGGAAUACAUCGGAAUCUACUUUUUCGUGGGGGAUAACGUAGGGAAACUUACGCUAAUACCGCAUACGACCUACGGGUGAAAGCAGGGGAUCUUCGGACCUUGCGCGAUUGAAUGAGCCGAUGUCGGAUUAGCUAGUUGGCGGGGUAAAGGCCCACCAAGGCGACGAUCCGUAGCUGGUCUGAGAGGAUGAUCAGCCACACUGGAACUGAGACACGGUCCAGACUCCUACGGGAGGCAGCAGUGGGGAAUAUUGGACAAUGGGCGCAAGCCUGAUCCAGCCAUACCGCGUGGGCGAAGAAGGCCUUCGGGUUGUAAAGCCCUUUUGUUGGGAAAGAAAAGCAGCAGGUUAAUACCCCGCUGUUCUGACGGUACCCAAAGAAUAAGCACCGGCUAACUUCGUG
rnacentral:rRNA from 1 species